GUAUAGUAAUAGUUGUAGUAGAUUUGUAAGUUAAAUAAAAGGGUCAUUUCAUUCGUAUGGGUGUUGUCAUUCUUCUUUUUUAGCAACAAGGUAUUGCAAAAAUUUAAUUGUGCAAAAAGCACUAGGAGGAUACACACAUGAAUACAGGUACAGUGAAAUGGUUUAACGCAGACAAAGGUUUUGGCUUUAUUACUCAAGAUAACGGACAAGAUGUGUUCGCACACUUUUCAGCUAUCCAAGGCGAAGGCUUCAAAACUUUAGACGAAGGUCAAGCAGUGACUUUCGAUGUUGAAGAAGGCCAACGCGGCUUACAAGCAACGAAUAUUUUCAAAAACUAAUUUAAACCAGUCAGAAGUGAUCCAUAUGGUUGGGUCGCUUCUUUU
rnacentral:sRNA from 1 species